GGAGAGGUGUCAGAGUGGUCGAACGAGCACGCCUGGAAAGUGUGUAUACGUGUUGAGCGUAUCGCGGGUUCGAAUCCCGCCCUCUCCGCAA
rnacentral:tRNA from 1 species